rnacentral:rRNA from 1 species
UUUGUAGAAUGAACCGGCGAGUUACGAUUUGUUGCAAGGUUAAGCGGAAAAAGCGGAGCCGUAGCGAAAGCGAGUCUGAAUAGGGCGCAUAAGUAACAGGUCGUAGACCCGAAACCAGGUGAUCUACCCAUGUCCAGGAUGAAGGUAAGGUAAUACUUACUGGAGGUCCGAACCCACGCACGUUGAAAAGUGCGGGGAUGAGGUGUGGGUAGCGGAGAAAUUCCAAUCGAACUUGGAGAUAGCUGGUUCUCUCCGAAAUAGCUUUAGGGCUAGCCUCGAGGUAAAGAGUCAUGGAGGUAGAGCACUGUUUGGACUAGGGGCCCUUCUCGGGUUACCGAAUUCAGAUAAACUCCGAAUGCCAUGUACUUAUACUCGGGAGUCAGACUGCGAGUGAUAAGAUCCGUAGUCGAAAGGGAAACAGCCCAGACCACCAGUUAAGGUCCCCAAAUAUAUGUUAAGUGGAAAAGGAUGUGGGGUUGCUUAGACAACCAGGAUGUUGGCUUAGAAGCAGCCACCAUUGAA